GCGGGCGUGGCGGAAUCGGUAGACGCAGCAGACUUAAAAUCUGCCGGCCGCAAGGCCGUGCCGGUUCAAGUCCGGCCGCCCGCA
rnacentral:tRNA from 1 species